CAAAUACUCCCUCCGUCCGGAAAUAUUUGUCAUCAAAAUGGAUAAAAGGAAAUGUAUCUAGACAUAUUUUAAUUCUAGAUACAUCUCUUUUUAUCCAUUUUGAUGACAAGUAUUUUCGGACGGAGGGAGUAUUUA
rnacentral:pre_miRNA from 1 species